AAGUGUGAUCUUCUUCGAUAAUCUGUACAAAUGGUCUCAAUGAAUAAAGAGUAGAAUUCUUUGUAGUUCAGCUAAAGUUAAACUAAAAUAAGUUGAAAUCAGUGAAAAAUGAAUCAUUUACAUAAUUAUAAUUCAGAAAAGAUGAACCCUCAAGUGCUCCUCAAGAAACCAUACUUCAGACCUUUAAAUAUAUUCUAUACUUCGAACAAUGAAUUGAAAUUGUUUAAAAAAAAAAGAAGUCCCAAUGCAUAACAUUUAUUCAAGACCUGCUCAACAAAUAUUUUAUACUAUUUAUAGUAGUCACAAUAAUAUUAUCUAUCAAUUUUUCCUAACACAUAACCAAUAAAUAUUAGACAAAAUGAAAAACCUA